CCUACGGGAGGCAGCAGUGGGGAAUAUUGCACAAUGGGGGAAACCUUGAUGCAGCGAGGCCGGGUGAAGGAAGAAGGUUUUCGGAUAGAAAACUUUUAUCAGAAGGGAAGAAGGAAGGGACAGUACCGGACUAAGAAGCCCCGGCUAACAACGUGCCAGCAGCCGCGGUAAUACGAAGGGGGCAGGCGUUAUCCGGAAUAACUGGGUGUAAAGGGUGCGUAGCCGGUAGGGCAAGUCAGAUGUGAAAGCCCGGGCCUCAACCCCGGGAUUGCAUUUGAAACUGUUUCACUAGAUUGCAGGAGAGGAAAGCGGAAUUCCUAGUGUAGCGGUGAAAAGCGUAGAUAUUAUGAAGAACACCAGUGGCGAAGGCGGCUUUCUGGACUGUAACUGACGCUGAGGCACGAAAGCGUGGGGAGCGAACAGGAUUAGAUACCCUGGUAGUC
rnacentral:rRNA from 1 species